rnacentral:lncRNA from 1 species
AUUCUGGAAAAUAAUGCAGAGUGGUACAGGCUGAAGCGGAGCGGAGAGGACACUGUUUCAAGAUUCCUGCGCCAGCUCCUUCGUUGUUAUAGAAGUUGGACUAAAUAAAAGGCAAUGUGUGAACGAUCCAGUUGCUCUACGUCCUUGCCAGCAGUUAGUAUGGGUUGUUAGUGGACAUCAUCCGAGCAAAACUUGAAAAGUGCUUAUAUGACUGGGCUUACCUGUACAUGUUCCUGCUUUUACAUGAGAGGCACAUGCCUCCAAUAUAACCACUGGUCCAAGAAAGAUAGGAAAUACAUGGAGAAAACCUGGUUUCUAUCUGAAGUUUGGAGCCACCCCAACAAAAAAAAGCCUGAAGAAGGGGCACUCCAAGCCACUCAAAAACACAUGAGCAAGAAAUAAAUGCCUAUUGCUGAUGCCA